UGAAUGAGUUUUGUUUUAAAUUUAAAUUUUGGUGCAAUUUCAAUAUCGUUCUGCCAUCUAUUGGUGAAAGGUUUAGUUGUUGAAAGUUUACGGUAAUGAGGGUAAAGGUUAAUGGAUAAUCUCAUUAUUUGGUUAAAUUAUGAGUUUCAAUGGGUUUCUAUUAAUCUUUUAGCAGUUUUUUCGGUUCAAGUGUUGGCUGGUUAAAUAAUUUAUUAUGUCGUUUGUGGUUAACCAGAUUAAUUUACAAUUAGUUUGCCAGUUUCCGCCAUUUUACGCCCUUCUUUACCUUCUUUCCCUCCAAAACUCUAUUUUAUUGAUAUUUCAAUGGUUUUAUUUUAUUUCUGGGCCUCUCAACUCUUUUUAUAAUCAUCAUGGUAACUAUUAUUUCUUCAAUUGAAUCAACAUAGUGAAUCUUUUCGAUAAUUACAAUGGCUGGUUAAACGUUGAACUCAUUUUGUGUCCUUCAUUUAUUCAAGAAAUGGCCAAUCCUUGUUGGAACUUAUUUUCUCACUGUCUUGGUCCCUGGGUUACAUCCUAAUUUAACUAGCCACCAACCAACACCAAUUAAGUCAACACUGAUGAAACAACACAGUGAAACCAUUUUGGGAUACCAUUUGCACUUUACCUUUAUUUUUACUUCUCCAAAAGGUUUUAUUGUCACUGGCGUUUUUGUGUUAUCUGUUUAAACAAGCUCAAAGAUUGAUGACCAUUGCUAAUUUAUCCUUAAAUUGGUCACUGACUCUUUACCUCUUUAUUUCUUUAUCCUUCAUCUACUGACCAGAAGGAAAAAAGUUGAGAAAACAAAAAAAAAGAAGGAGAUGGAAAAAAGGAAACCUGAAUCAAAUGGUCUUAACUUCGUACCGCUCUGCAUGGUGUCUUCUGCUUCUUCUGCUUUCUUCCUCAUCAUUUCUGGUCUUCUUUCCUGUGGUCCUUUUACCUUACAUUUUAUCUUACUUUUUUUUCCAGAGUAUCCAGGGAAGAAAGUAAACUAUGUUGAUCAGGAUGACAUUGACACUAAGGAAUCAUUAAUUUAACCCGUCAAGAUGAUGUAUUGUUUCUAGCAGAUGAAUGUGAAUCCCAUAGAGAACCAGAAAAGGCUUGCUUAAUUUUCAAUUGACUUGAUUAGUCUUGUUAAUUUACAUUUCAUCUUUGUCAACAAGAAAAGUUACUUCAUGAUAAGAGGAUUAAACAUUAUGUUUUUAUCAGAAUGGCCGAUCAAAUAACCAAAUCAGAUAUUCAAUGUUCAAUCUCACCGUAAAUAUGUUUCAAUACACUUGAAAUGAGCACGACAAAAAAGGGAAAAAAUGGAAUCCAAAAUUAAUAAUUUUAAAAAAGGCAAACGACAUGUUUUAUUAAUUGUCACUGUGACAUUAAAACAUUGAUUGAUACUCUCAUAAUCAGCGAUAAAGUCCACCAUUUAAUUCGCUACAAUUUUGAAACCUCUUAAAAUUGAACAUCAUUAAGCAACUAGUAAUGAUUGUUUGUCUCUACAAAAUUACAUUUAACUAAUCUUUGCCAUUAAUUAUCCUUGUAUUACCAUUGUUACUACCAUGUUAAUGAUUCCUAAUCAUUUUCACAGCAACAAUUUAACUCGAUAAGUUUACAUUUUAAGCUUUCCCUAGCUUUUACACAGAAAAUGUAAUCUUAGAUUCUCAAAUGUCUCAACAAUUUAAAUACAUUAAGCCUUAAAUAAUGGACGCCAUUUAGCUGAACCUUUCAACCGGCAGUUAAAAUUAUCAAAUGUAACUCAAAAGCUUAUUGAAUUACAAUGAAAAUGUUUGCCAACAAAAAGCAUUUGAUGCUCAAUUCCCAAAGUCAACUGUUUCACAAUUAAAACCCAAAUGUGCAAAGCCAAACCAGGAGAAGGGUUACAACCAUCAGCUGUACCAUUGGACCGGUUUCCUUGUAAUUCAAUGAAACAUUUACGCCAGAAAAUGGAAUCUCAAUUUUACGCUUUUCAAAUUAUUCAAUGUUUCACCUUUAAAGGCUGUUAAUAACCUGUUAACUAAUUUACAUCUCAUCAUAAAUUGUAAUUACACAUGGGCAGUGUUACACUUGAUUAACUAAACUAAAUGCUUGUGGCCAAAAGGUGUGCAAAGGAGAGUAAAAAUGAACAACAAUAAUGGCAAGGUGAACAAUCAAAAAAGGAAGCAAACGAGGAAACCAGCAAAAAAGCAAAGGGUUAACCAUAUUAAUCCAUUGGAAUGGUUUAAUAGUGCAAUAAAAGGACCAAAUUAAAUGCAUUUUUGAUAAUCUCAUGACAAAAGGAUAAGCCAGUUAACAAGUCAAUGGUACUUUUGCGAGGUGAAAAAAGGUGAUUAAUAGUGGAGAGACAUUUGGCUGACCAGUUGGGUGAGAGUUGGGUGAAGAUGAGGGUAAUGAUGAAGGAGAUGCUGAUGGGCAUUUGAAGGGUAAAGUAAAGGUUAAAUUAAUAUUGUUACAAUAUCAGGGCGAGUUGGAUAAGCAGAAGAGUGAAAACAAAGCAGAAAAGCACUGAACCCUAGGAAGUCAUCGACGGGGAUUCUGACCAUCAACGUGGGCUUUGGUCAAAUCUUUUCACAUUUUCAUCAUUUCUGUUGAACAUCUUUACAUUAAAUUGGUUUACAAUCAAACCUGACAGGGGUCUUGAGUCCAGUUUUGUAACUGCGAGUAAAGUACAAGAUUAAAGAUGAAAAAUAAUUAAAGAAUCUUGGAAAUGAGGAAAAGUUGAGGAAAAAAAUUGAAUGUCGCUCGUUGUUUCAUGGCAUUAAUGUUUCAUCCUGAUCAUCAUCUUGAACAGCAAUCUAAUGUUGAUCUUGUUUCUUCAAUGACUCUCAUUGAGACUGACAACCAUUAGAAGAUGCCUUUUUCAUUAACUUGGAUUGUUAACAAUCUUUGAACAACAUUUACUUCUUUAACCAAUUUAUCAAUUUUUAUUUACAUCUUUCCUCCAACAUUAACAUUUUUCUUGUCCCAUCUUCAUCUUUCCUCAAUCAUCAUCAUUACCAUCAUUCAUGAUGAUUACCUUUCCGCCAGAUUUUUCGUUUUCUUUGGCGUUUCUCCAUUUCUCUUCUUUUUUCAAUUUUCCAUCUCUUCCCUUAUCCUCAUCAUUAUCACAUCAUCAUUUUGUGUCUCUUUAUAUAACCAUGUAAUACAUGUGAUAACUUUCACAUACUUGUAUGUCUAAUAAGCUUCUCAGAGGGUUUAAGUUAAGCUUCAACUGAUUUCAGAAACCAUUUUUGUUCAUCUUCUUUUCCAUUCUGACAAUGAAAUUGAAAUUGAAAUGAAAAUGGAUAUUUUCAUAUUAUUUUAUGAAUAUAUUAUCACGUAACAACUGAAUAAAUCUCUUGUUGAUCCUUAAAUAAUAAAUUGGCGAAAAGUGAAUCUAAAAUUUUGAUAUUCAAAGGAAAAAUAUACUUUAUAUAUUUACUUUUCUCCUUUUUUUUCUUCUUCUUCUUCAAUCUUUUCUUUUAACACCAAAAAAAGAUGAAUUUACAUGACGAUGAAUCUCAUGUCAAUCUUAUCGUUCAAACAAAAUUGGCAAAAUUUUGGAUAUUUGUUCCAAUCUUGAACUUUCCAUUAUUAAAAAGUUCAAUGUCAAUCAUGCAAAGUUUCACUCAAUCUUUUACUUGCACUUUGAAAACAAUUUUCAUAAUCAUCUGAUCAUGGAGUUAUUGGGUUCAAUAAAAUGUUUCACCAUUUAAUCCCAUCAUUGUUAUCAAGUUUACCUUAAAAAGCUAAUCCAAUUGAAACCUUUGUCCAAACCAGUCGUGUCUUUGUAUUGUAAACAUUAAUCUCAUUUUGUAA